UACGUAGGGUGCGAGCGUUGUCCGGAAUUAUUGGGCGUAAAGAGCUUGUAGGCGGUUUGUCGCGUCUUGCUGUGAAAAUCUCAAGGCUCAACCUUGAGCUUGCAGUGGGUACGGGCAGACUAGAGUGUGGGUAGGGGGAGACUGGAAAUUCCCGGUGUAGCGGUGAAAAUGCGCAGAUAUCGGGAGGAACACCAAUGGCGAAGGCAGCUCGCUGGGACGUUACUGACGCUGAGACGCGAAAGCGUGGGGGAGCAAACAGG
rnacentral:rRNA from 1 species